rnacentral:lncRNA from 1 species
UCAAGGUGCAGAUCCUGUUGUAGUUGCAGAGGAUGGAAAAGUGAAGUCAUUCCCUGUGAUCUUGUUACCCAAGGAGAAGCUGGUUGAUACCAAUGGAGCAGGUAUGAACUCUCUUAUUUCAUUAUUCAUGCCUAGAGUGCUGAAAAUGACCAACCUUCAUAAAGGUUUGCAUCGUAUUGAGAUUCAGUGCUCCUGUCUUCUAGGGUGUGAAAAAGGGUUAGUGAGAAUGGUAUUGUCAUGCACUGAAUUAGGAUGAGCUUAUGAGCAAUGUAGUUGUAAUUGUUUAUUAAUGUGUUUUCUCAUGCAACCUCAGAGGUUUGUCCUUGUCAAACUUGACAAAGGGAACGAUCCCUUGAAUAGAUAAACUCCUAAGAAGCAAGCAUAGAAACCUCUAGUGGAAGCUGCUAAUUAGGCUACUCCUUGUUAUAAAUAUAAUGCAUUGCUUUGCUUUUUUUUUUUCUUUUAAUUUGAUUUUUCCUGUGUGGUAGGCGAUGCAUUCGUUGGAGGAUUUUUGUCUCAGUUGGUUCAAGAGAAGCCGAUUGAAGAAUGUGUGAGAGCUGGUUGCUAUGCUUCACAUGUUAUAAUCCAAAGGUCUGGCUGCACCUACCCAGAGAAGCCCGACUUCAGUUAGAAUUAUCUCUCAUGUAGCCCGAGAUCUUUUCCAUUUCACAAGUAAUAAUAGUAGAGUUAUUUUUCCUGUGGCGGGUUCUACUCCCUGCCCAAUGAUUAUGUAUCCUGCAUUAUUAGCUCCUGGAUCCAUUUACUGGGUGUAGGUUGCUUUUGUUUUCUUGAAUUUUUACAUUGUACCCAUUCCGAGUUUUCAUAUAAAUCCUCCAUAAAUUGGUUGAGUUAUUUCCUUGUGCCUGGCUGUUUGCAUUUUUUUAGCUCUUAUUUGUUGACUACGAAUUUAUUUUUUUCAAUCAUUUUUUUAAACAAGUGAUAUAAAAAAUAAAAAAUAAUUUUUUUUUUCAUUUGUUCUUUCCUUUUACUUUUACUUUUUUUCUUUAUUUUCUUUCUCUCAUUUUUUUUUCAAAAAUUUUAUGACAACCGCGAUGUUUUAGUAUAAUAUAAAUAAAAAGUGCCAAAAUAUUAUCUUAUUAUUAUCAUCAUUUAAAGCAAUGGGGAUAAUAAUUUUUAUUAUAACCAAAUACAAUGACAUAGGGAUGAGUUGGAUGACAAUGGAAAAUUUUAAAUUUUUUUUUCAAAUUUUUAUUUUUAAAAUUUAAUUAUAUUAAAAAAUAAAUAAAAUUUAUAAAUAAAUAAAUGUUAUAAAUUUUUAUAAAAAAUAAUUUAUUAUUUUGUGUUAAAAAAGAAAAAUAAAUAAAGCUAAAUUAUUUUUUAAUUAUAUAUGAUAGAGGUAGACUAGAAUAAGGUUGAAAGUUAUAUGAUCUAAGUAUGGGUAACACUUAGAGAGAAAUGAAUAAGUGUUUCCUUUUAGCCCAAAAUUAAAUAGCUUUAAUUAUUUUACUUAUUUUUUUUUAAAAAUGAUAAUAAUAAUUUUGGGUAGCUCAAAGAACAAUCAACAUAAGAUGCACUGAAUCUUUUUAAAUGAAAAACUAGCCAUAAAAUAUGAAAAUGUAAAAAUCACGGUGUGGACCCCGCAUUUCGGCUCAUGCGUUUUCCAUUCGAUGGCGAGCUCGAUUUUAAUUUGAAAAAAAAUGAUUUUUAUUAAUUAAGAAAAAUUGACUUGGAGUCGCCACUUAUUUUUGUUUUAUUUUUAAAGGGUAAACAAAAUAAGAAAGAAAAACCCUAAGUGUAAUUCCUUGUUUUGGAAAAGGUAGUCUGUGAAAAACCGGAUCGGGUUCGUGGGUUAGGUUACUUAUCGGGAAGGUACGAUAGAGACCGUAGCGCCCCUCUAAGUCCCUAAAGUCGGGUCUCUACUAAUACAAUGAAACUGACGUGGCAAUCAACGAGAAAGUCAAUGGAUAUUCACCUAAAUCAUGCACAAUAUGAGAAUCAAAACACGCAAUAGAGAUUGACUAGAAAAGGAGUGGAUGCGUACCUCGGCCACGAGCCACAGUGCACUAUCAAGAAACGGGAUUAGUGCACAAUUAAUGAAUACGAAACAUAACCCAUACAUAUCGGAGUGCAAAACGAAGCUCAAGCACAAUACAGUAAGCACGAUAAUUGACAAUCAAAAGGGGUCAAACAUAGGGCCCCCAACAAAGCCCGAUUUAUUGUUCAUGAGCUAAUCUCACAAAUCCCGUGUUUUAGAAUUAUGAAGGAAUCACUAUUGCUUAUGUAAAAUCAAGAAGAUCAAAAGAUUAUUUAGGAACUGAAAUGUGAUUAAAAACUAUUCGAGUGAAAACUGGAUUAUUGGAGCUUAUUUGAAAAUUGGAGUAUUUGGAAUUAAAUUUUAAAGAUUAGAGCUCCGGUGAUUAAAUUGAAAUUUGUUAAAGAAAAUGAGAAACGGGCUUUAGGAAAUUGAACUACAAGACCAUAGACUUUUGAAAGUUGAAUUUAUAAUAAUGAUAAUAAUGAGAUUUUGAAAGUUGGGUUAAUAAUAAUGAUAGUAAUGAGAUUUUUGAAAGUUGAGUUAAUAAUAAUAACAAUAAUAGAACUUUGAAGGUUUGGAUUAAUGAUAAUAAUAAUAAUAAUAAUAAAUUGAUUUUGAAAGUUGAGGUAAUAAUAAUAAUAAUAAUGAGAUUUUUGAAAGUUUGGAUUAAUGAUGAUAAUAAUAAUAAUAAAUAGAUGUUGAAAGUGUGAAUUAAUAAUAAUGAUAAUAAUGAGAUUUUGAAAGUUGGGUUAAUAAUAAUAAUAGUAAUGAGAUUUUUGAAAGUUGGGUUAGUAAUAAUAAUAAUUGGAUUUUGAAAGUUUGGAUUAAUGAUAAUAAUAAUAACAAUAAAUAGAUUUUGAAAGUUGAGUUAAUAAUAAUAAAUAAUAAUAAGAUUUUGAGAGUUUGAAUUAAUGAUGAUAAUAAUAAUAAUAAAUAGAUGUUGAAAGUGUGAAUUAAUAAUAAUGAUAAUAAUGAGGUUUUGAAAGUUGGGUUAAUAAUAAUAAUAGUAAUGAGAUUUUUGAAAGUUGGAUUAGUAAUAAUAAUAAUAGGAUUUUGAAAGUUUGGAUUAAUGAUAAUAAUAAUAACAAUAAAUAGAUUUUGAAAGUUGAGUUAAUAAUAAUAAAUAAUAAUAAGAUUUUGAGAGUUUGGAUUAAUGAUGAUAAUAAUAAUAAUAAAUAGAUGUUGAAAGUGUGAAUUAAUAAUAAUGAUAAUAAUGAGGUUUUGAAAGUUGGGUUAAUAAUAAUAAUAGUAAUGAGAUUUUUGAAAGUUGGGUUAGUAAUAAUAAUAAUUGGAUUUUGAAAGUUUGGAUUAAUGAUAAUAAUAAUAACAAUAAAUAGAUUUUGAAAGUUGAGUUAAUAAUAAUAAAUAAUAAUAAGAUUUUGAGAGUCUGGGUUAAUGAUAAUAAUAAUAAUGAUAAUAAUAAUAAUAAUGACAAGAAUAAUGAUAAUAACAAUAAUAAUAAUAGUAACAAUGAUAACAAUAAUAAUAACAAUAAUAACAAUAAUAAUAACGAUAAUAAUAACAAUGAUAAUAAUAAUUAAUAAUAAUGAUAAUAACAAUGAUAAUAAUAAUUAAUAAUAAUAAUAAUAGUAACAACAAUAAUAACAAUAAUAAUAAUAAUAAUAAUAAUAAUAAUAAUAAUAAUAAUAACAAUGAUAAUAAUAAUUAAUAAUAAUAAUAAUAGUAACAAUGAUAAUAAUAAUUAAUAAUAAUAAUAACAAUGAUAAUAAUAAUUAAUAAUAAUAAUAAUAACAAUGAUAAUAAUAAUUAAUAAUAAUAAUAAUAAUAAUAGUAAUAAUGGUAAUAAUUAAUAAUAAUAAUAAUAAUAAUAGUGAUAAUAUCAUAAACCCAAGUCCUUAAUCCCAAGCCCACGUCUAACAUAAAGAAAACUCAAUCCACAAGCCCAAGCCCAAAUCCAAAACCAAACACAAAAUUGGGCCUUGUGUCUUAUCCCAAGCCCAAACCAAAUUCAUCUUCUUCCUAGCUUCCCCUCCCGCCUAGAAAUCACCCUCCGAGGGAGCUCCUACCGCCGGCGGCACCAAGAGAUGUUGCCGCCGUCGCCGACGACUGGCGCGGCUGUCCACCUGGCUGGAGCGGGUCAAGACGCACCAUGCUUGCGUCAGAGAAGGAGCUGCUAGCGGUCCGAGGGUGUGGUUGCUACCAGCUUGGUCGAUGGAGGGAGAAAUAGCGGCGACGUCCAGAAGACGUUACCGCUGUCGCUGAUGACCGACGCAACUGUCCACACGGUCGGAGCAAUGCAGAGCGAACCGCGUGCCGGCGUUAGGGAGAAUCAGCUCGCGACCUCAAGGCGCGACUGCUGCUGCUGGGGUGGCGGCGCCAUCUGGAGUUGGGCUUGGGGCGGCGGAACUGGCGCCUGAUGCACCCAAAACGGCGGGGCUGCACCCAAACCGGCGGGGCUGCGUCUGUUGUUGCUGCUACGAAAGGCGACAUCGUCAUCCGCUACAGCUGUGGCGAGGCUUCUGGUAUCACGGAGGAGCUCACGAAAGGCGAGGGUGAAUUUCCGCUCGCUGAAGAGGGGAAGGUACGUGGAUGAAAUAGGGAUGAGCACGGGAGAAAAGGGGAUGAGAAGUGUGAGUAGUGAGGUAGGAGAUGGGUAUGAUACAGCCAUGCUUGCAUGGUUCUUAACACUCAUGCUGGGGGAGAAGAGAAUGGGUUUCAAAACACAAAACCAAAAAAACAACACCAUGCAUAUCUGGAUGGCACAAUGAAUAUGAUAGAGACCCUCAUCCAUUAUUCAAACCAAAUUGAUGCAAUGGAGAAGACAUCAACGACAUGAAUAAAAAAACAUCAACUAAAUCAACAAGGGCGUGGGAGUGAUGCUCAGAAUAACCAGAAGUAUGGUGAAAUAUAAACAUACCUAUAAACCACACUGGAUGCCCGCCCUAGCUUUCUUUGAUCAAUCCUCUUCCCCCUUCUUUUUCUCUUCUUUUUCCUUUAGCUUCUCCUCCAAGCCAUCUCCGUACCCCGUCCCAUCUGCCGCCCAAAAGCUAUCCUUCUCCCUCCUUUCACUUCCAACCGUCCUCGAGUCUGUCCUUCUCUCCUCCUUUUACUUCCAGCCGUCCUCGGGUGGAUAAAGAAAGCAGAAAAGAAGAAGAAAAAAUAAAAUGAAUGAAAAUAAAAAAAAACCAACCAAUGCCCCCAGUUGAGGGGGUCUACACACGGGUUAGAAACCUUAAAUUUUUAGGCUAUUAAUAUGGAAAACAUAUGAUUUUGAUAACCCAAAUAUAAAAAAUAUGAGAUCCAACUAUUAAUAGGUAAAGUAAUAUGCAAAACGUGCAUUAUAUACUGUUUAUUUUUCCUCUUCCCAUAUUACCCCUAAAUCUCUCCGUGUCAUCGGCAAAUCUUCUUAUCUAAACAAAACAAUUUGAAACUUGAACUCAUUCUCAAAGCACAAAGAAACCCGACCCGAACAACUUUCCCUACCAAUAUUGUGUGAAUUUCACCGUACCUUUGGCCCAGCAUGUUGGCCAACACCACCCUCAUAUCCAACAACUUCUCUGCUCUCCCAUUCGUUUCUCUCAAAACCCGCAACCCCAACUCUAGAAUCUCAUUUAUCAGAACCCCAAACCCAAACCCUCCAAUUCUCAGUAAACCCAAACACCCAAUUUCUACAUUUCAGAAAAGGGGUGGCCUUCAAAUCUGUCAGAGCUCCUUCAACACUCAGAAUCCAGAAAACUCAGCUACUGAAAAUUGAGCUAAAUUGGAGAGUGAGAACAAAGAUGGUGGGGAUGGAGGAGACUGGACAACACCAGCUCUGCUUUUCGUGUUGUGGGUUGGACUCAUCUACUAUGUUUUCAACCUCACUCCUGACCAGACUCCGGUACCAUGGACUGCAACCAUUUCAUACUAAAGAGAAGUGCUUUUGUUUUGCUUUUGUGUUUGUUUAAUUUGAUGGGAUAUGGUUUUCUUCUUCUUGUUGUUGUUGUGCUUAUUUCAUUAAUUUGGAAAAUCCUAAUGAGCACUAGGGCUAGAAACCCAUUUCAAAUUCUAGUUAUAGUUCUAUGGUACCAGUUAUUUUAUAUGGGACAUAUUGAGGUAUAAUUGUCAAAGGUAUUCCACAUUUCUAUUCAAUUGUGGAAUGCUUUGAGAUGUUUUCUUAUGAUCCCAUGAAUGUUAUUGGUGAAAAAUAUGCAUAAAUCUCCUUGUCUUCAUAUUGAUAUGUUGGUGUUAUUUUAGGUUUUAAAAAAUAAAGGAAGUGGAUGGGGUGAUAUGUGUUCAUUCUUUUCUAAGAAUGAUUUUUGGUAAAACUAAAGUGAAAUUGUCAACAACUGGAUGAAGUACAAAUAUUUAUCCCUUGCUACCCAUAUGGGUACAGGCCAAUUUUGAAACAUAUACAUAUUGUUGAAACAAAAAGUUUUUCAUGUUGUGUAUAAUAUCUUAGUGACCAAAAUAAUAUGUUAAGCUUAUUUUGCUUUCCAUAUUUGACACGAUUACAAGUCACUAUAUUUCUACAUAAACAAAGGAAUUGCUUAUUCUUUAGUUGCUAAAAAGUGUAUUCAAUCUAGAAAAUGUUUUUUGGUACUUAGUUGUUUCAUCUCUUUGAAAGAGAACUUCUGAAUUUUAGGAGUUCAUUUAUUUCAAUGAUGAUUAACAUGCAAUGAUGUAAGUCAGUUCCCAUGACAGAAACUAGUCCAAGAAGCUAGCAAAUAUGUUAAUAAGAUUGCUUCCACUGGGGGAAAAAAUAUUUUUCUUGCCCACAUGUAGAGUAUAGUAUUAAAACAUUGGUGUUGGACCUGUUGAUAGUGUUGGAAUGAUAUACGGUGCUGGUACUUACAAGAUAUUGUUGUCAAAAAUGGUUUAUAGAUUUAUGGACCAGUGGUAGAGUAAAAUAUUAUAAGUUGUGAUUAUCGUUUCCAUCAGGAGCCACUUGAAUGUAAGGAAAUAAUGAAAGUGGAUGAGUUGAGAUGUGCUAAUUUCUUUGUUUGAAAGAUUUUUAGUAUAAUUAUAGUGAAACAAAAGGUUUGUGAAUCUAGUUUAUAAUAUCUUUUUGUAUAAAUAUUAUAUUAAGCCUAUCAUACUGUCCAUUUCUCUGAAAUGAUCAUUUAGGGUGUAAUUGUCUUUACAUAAGCAAAGGAAUGCCUUACUCUUUAGUUCUCAAACAAAUAGAUUUUACUUAGAAAAGUUCAUUGAGUACUUGGUUGUUUCAUCUCUUCGAACAAGAUAGGAAGAAAGGAAGAAAAGUUGGUAUAGAUGUUAGGAUGCCAAUUUUUUUGGAACAAAGAAACUGGAAUAUGGGCUUUGUCCAUUAAUGACCAAACUAUUAUUCUUUUUGUGCACUUAAUACUGCUUCGGUAAGCUAAACUUGAACUCUACUUCUCCCAAGCCUCGGGCCUUCCUUCGUCACCUUUAAACUAUGUCAUUAUGUGGUUCUCUUGUGUGCUCAAGUGGUCCACCAAAGGUUUUUUGGGACUGUACCUUAGGUACUACCUUAAGAGCCCUUAGGUACUAUCUUAAUGGCCUUUAGGUACUAUCUUAAGGGAUCCUAAGUACUACCUUAGCUAAACCUGAACUUUACCUCUCCCAAACCUCUAGCCUUCUUGUGACCCUUAACCCAUGCCAUUAUGCGGUUCUCUUGAGUGCUCAAGUGGUCCACUAAUGGUUUUUUGGGACUGUACCAUAGGUACUACCUUAAGAGCCCUUAGGUACUACCUUAAUGGCCUUUAGGUACUACCUUAAGGGACUCUAGGUACUACCUUAACUAAACUUGAACUCUACCUUUCCCAAGCCUUUGGUCUUCCUUUGUGACCCUUAGACCAUGCCAUUAUAUGGUUCUCUUGUGUGCUAAAGUGGUCCACCAAUGGUUUUUUAGGACUGUACUUUAGGUACUACCUUAAUGGCCCUUAGGUAUUACCUUAAGGAACCCUAGGUAUUACCUUAACUAAACUUGAACUCUACCUCUCCCAAGCCUUCGUCCUUCCUUCUCGAACAUAACUUGUUUUUUUUUAAAAAAAAAUAUUGUUUUCUAUUAUUUUCCCUUCUAGGGAAGGUUGAUCAUUUUUUCCCUUCUAGGGAAGACUGGUCAUUUCAAUCAUGAGCUUCCUAACAUCAACAAUGAAAUGCCCCCAGGUUUUGAUUACUCUGAAAUUUGCUGCCAGAUACCCCUGUGUCUGUUGACACUAGGGAACCAUGUCCUUGUCUUAAAGCCAUAGCUGCCAUAUUGUUUCAUAACCAUGCAAAUUAAGAAUGGGUUCAUAUACUCCCUGUGUUCAUAUACUUCUGCCUUCAUCUGAAUGUGGAUUAAUGAUAGUUGCACCUUUUUCUUCUAGUUUGGAGGAUAGUGAGAAAAUAUAUGUUGUUGAAUGGACCUGGCUCAAGUGGGACAAGGGUUGGGGGGUUUGUGGGUGGUUAUAGGUUCAAGUCCCAAUAGGGAAAAAAAUUUACCUAUCAAAAAAAAGAAAAAGAAAAAGGCUUGGAAAAAGAAAAAUAUAUUAAAAGUAACAUAUCAAAUCAUUUUAAUAAAUUUGCUGCCAGUCACAAAUUUAUUUCUAUUCUCAUUUGGAAAUACACAAGGCUUGGGUUCCUCAGUCUAUUACAUUUACAAACAUUAAGAAUAAGAUAAAAGAGUGCUAAUCAUGAAUUUAUUUAUUUAUUCAUUAUUUAUUAUUUAUUUGUUAUGAAAGGUAACAAAAUUUUUGUUAAGGCAAAAGAACUAAAGACAAGAAAUGCCCCAAGAAAAAGAAAAACACAAUUGAAAAUUAAAGGAGGCACAAUAACAGUAAAAAUUGCCUGAAGUCUUAGUAGACCCUUGGGGGUCAUGAAUUUAUUCUAUACAUUUAGAAGAAUAAGAAUCAAAUGACUUCAAAAAUCAUACCAUUUGUUUCCUAUUAAUUGGUCAGAUACCCUAACCUGGACUGAACUUCUUAUGAGUGAGUGGUAACAGAAUACCUUCCUAUCAUGGAAAUGGCCAAUUAGAACUACUUUAUUUAGGUAUAUACCAAUCUCAGUUUCCCCAAAUUCUAGUUUCAGGUUUUAGUGAUUAUGACUAGGAACUAAAAGUCCAUUUGCAAUGAUUCUAGGAAGCACUUCUAACCUUUCUAACACUAACAAAAAAAAUUUCUUUCAAGUAUUAGAAAGACUAGAAACGCUUUCUAAAUUCACUACCAAACACACUCUAAGACUUAGGAAGGGAAUGCAGAAAAGGUAGAACCCAUGGAUGGUUAGCAGUCUAUGGUUCAUUCUACAGCAUAUCCAGUCUAUGGUGGUCAGUGGAGGUUUUUUUAUUUCCUUGUUUGGCAUGAAGUUUAGUGAAGCUAAUUGCAUCUUCAUUAAAUUGUUUUGCAAUUAAUUAAGCCCAUUGCAUCCCAAUCAUGUCCAGCUAAGAAUGUGUUUUCAAGGGCUCUAUUUAAAGUUGAUUUUUUGCCUGGGGGUUGUUCAGUAAAAAUUUCUCAUGGUUUAUUAGCAUCGGUGGUGGAGAUAAAUUGCCAUUACUUGUGCAAGCAUAGUGAGAAGUCAGCUAAAUAUAUUGUUAUCCAUUUUGGGAAGGCUCCUUGUUUGUAGACUUCGUUGUAAUCUUUGUUUGGAUUCUCAUGAGUGCUUCCCCAUUCUAUUAGGGAGACAUUGGGUUGACCAGAUAGUUUGUGGGCAAGACUCAAAAUAGAAUUUUGAGGUUAAACCCUCUAUGUUUGGUUUAGUGCAUAUGAAAAAAGAAGAAUUGAAGUAAUUAUAAAGGUUUAGAGCAUUUGGAGUUGGUGCAGAUAGAUAUUUUUAUUAAAUCUUCUUUGCAUGGUUUUGGGAUUCACUAGGGGAGAAUAGUUAAUAGUUCUCAUUUUAGAUUUCAUUGAUAGUUUGCAUAGGGGUCAGAGAAAUGUAAUGCCUAUUGCUUGGUCUUUCUAGUUUAUUUGGCCUUUGACACACUUUUUACACUUUGUACUUGGUUGCAUCUCCCUUUUUUGCAUUUGCCUACAACAUAAACAUUUAUAUUUAUAUAUUGGGCUUCAAAGUAUAAGAUCCUAUCAAUUUUCAUGUUUGACAAUUACAGAGGGAUUUUAAAGAGAGCUAGUUAAGGACCCAUGAGGUAGCUGCAUUCUCAUAAUUAAGAAGUUAGGACAAAAUAGGUUAACUAUAUCCUAUUUUCCAAAUUAUAAUUCAAAAGCAAGAAUGCAAUUCAAAUCUUAACACCACCCUAUGCUAAAGCCUGUAAGAAUUCAAAGAUUUGUAGCCUAAAAGGCUCACCAGACCUGAUUGCCAGGGUUGUAAGAGCUUGAGCAGCAACGAUACGAACCUGGAGGGACCAUUACAAUUAGAAAGAGGAAAAAAAAAACUAAGAUUAGAGGCUAUUUUGACAAAAUUAUUGUGAUGCUAAACUGAGCAUACAAACAGUCAACUUCCAACUUGUAUUACUGCAAUUUAAAACCCAAAAGACAACAAAAUUUUCAAAAGGAAUUUCACCAAAUUAACAAGAUUUGUCAUUAAAGAAACAUAGAAAAAAGUUCAUUUAAGAGACAUUUAACUGUUGUGUAUGAGUUGGUGCAAUUUAUCCUAGAGUAUCCGCUUGAUCCUAUUGACUAAGGCCCGGUAAAGAAUACAGAAAUGGUAAAGAAGGUAGAUUUCUUUAUCAAGAAGUCAAAUAUUGAAAGAAACACGUUUCACAAAAUAUCUCAAAACCAGUCCUGAAUCUCAUCCACUCAAUAGCAUGAAUGCAAAACAAUAGAAGAAAAAAAAAUAGAACAGGAGAAAAAUAAAAGAGUGAAUUCGGUUGACUCAAUAGCAUGAAUGCACAAAAAAAAAAAAAAAAAAAAAAAAAUACAAUGACAAACAAACAAAGUGAAAAACUUCCACAUGACCCGGACAACUUUUCUGUGUACUGUAAGCCUUUUUUCUACUAGUGAAACAAUGUGAUUUUAUUACUACAGCAACAAUGUACUGCCACCUUUCCCAGGAACAGAUUUGGAAAUUUUAAUUUCAUUACCAUCAUUAAUAGAAGUAGUAUAGGGCAAGAUGGGCAGGCAGAGACUAAGUGUAGAUUUUUUUUUUCUUUUUUUCUUGUUAAUUGGCUAUAUAUGGUUAUAUUAAAUGAUUUUUGGUACAAUAUACCACGAGGGUAGAAGAAACCCUCACAACAAGCCUGAAAAUCAUGAGUUUUGGUAGGAAUGUUCUGUGAAUUUUUAAGGUUAACCUGCUGAUUUUGACCAACACUACAAGCCCAUCCAGGUUCACAGCCAGAAAGCCAUGUAGUCAAGUUACAGUUCUUGUUAGGUCUCAAAUAAUUGCUUCUCUCUGAUUUCACAAAGAAAUUACUAAAGUAGAACUUUGUUUCUGCAGAUGUGCACAAUUAUCGGGUAAUAUCUUUUGUUGUGGAAAUUCAAACCAUUAUACUACAUGAGAAUGCAACUUAUGAUUCAAAAUGACCCACUAGUUGUAGAAAAUACUACUGAAAGAAAAACAACAGAAAAUGCUGGCACUCGGUUUUCUCUGUCUGAUAUUUUACAAGAUCCUUCUUUAUUGCUUACUGCCCUUUGGGCCAAAACAGAUCCUUACAGAAAGAGAUGCCAAGGAAAGAGCAUGAUGGUGCCUCAAAGAGAAACUUUCCAAUCAUGGGUCGGAAAGAAACUAUCAUCUUCCUCAUCAAUCAUAACAAGUUAAAAGAGUUAGAAACAAUGGAUAAGUAUAACCUUUUGAGCUUAAAUCCUAGUCUCAUUGCUAAGAAUUCACCAGGACAAGUGAGAAAAAAAAAACUGGAAUACACACCUACCCGGUCCAAACCACCUUCCUAUGAAGUCUCAGUAGCCGAAUCACAUUAAUAAUGCUCCUAUAAUUCUUCCCAAUAUUAUAACAGUGCACUCAAAUAUGAAGUUUCUGACCAAGAAACACAACAGGUAUUUCUAGUUACCCUCCAUUUUAGUUGGUGAAGAAAAGCCAUUAAGAUUUGAGUUUCAAAUUCCAUUUUGUCUUCCUUCUAAAGAAUUAAAAAAAGAAUGAGAAACUCAAUUCAGGUAACCAACUAGUUUAAUUAGAAUUGAUUGAUUCCAAAUGUUUUUUUUCCCCGUGAAAGCUAUUUUUUCCUAUUUUACUCGGAUUUUCUAGGUAUCCAAACAAGCUCAAAUGUAACUUGUAAAAACUACUCAUACCUUUAGUUUUCUGGAUGCAAGAAGCCAAGAAGUCCAAAUUAAAUGAAAGAUUAAAAGCCUGGUUCCAAUCAGCGUCCCUGAUGGGCAAUACAAGUUCAAAGUCAAACCAAAUUUGACAAGAAUCAAACACUUAAAAUGAGUUUAAUUAAACCAAUUGCCCCAGCUCAGUUCAUUCUUCAAUUAUUCAAAACCUAGAAUCAACAAUUUUUUUCUCUUUUUCAGAAACCAAACAGAGAACUCACGGAUCCUUAACGCAGAAAUUGGAGCGCUUUUGAAACUCCGCACUCAGCAUUGUAGUCAUAUUGGAAAUCUUACCAUAACCAAACUGUGUGAACAAUGGAAGAAGCUUGGGAUUAUCAAACUCGCUGUAGUCAUCUACGUUAUGGCACUAUACGAACUGCACCGAACCCACCAAUAGUACAACGAGAACCACCAAUGUGGGAGCAGGGGAAGGGCAAUAAGUGCCAACUUUCGCUCUUCUCAUAUCAAAACCCAAUUGAAGCGUCGAGAAAAAAAGAAGUGUUGAAGCUCAGAAAUAGUGUGUUUGGUUGGGAAGAAACCAUGGGAAAGUGGAGGGGAGGAAAUGGGAGCUCAUUUGGAUUUAUUUUCCUGGGCUUUCUUGGGAACCAAACGCGGGGAAAGAGACUAAUAGGCGAUGAUGGAGGAGGGAGGAGAUUAUUAUCAGGGAAAGUUGUGUUUUUUGAAACUAGGUUCGAAAUUAGGAAUUUCCUGAGAUGGGGUUAGGGCAAAAUGAUCAAAAGUGAGAGAGAUUCUUUACUUUUGGUUCUCGAUCGGGUUUCUUUGUGUUUCAGCUUUGAGAAUUAGUUCAAGUUUCAAAUUGUUCUACUGACAUGGGGAGGAUUUGUUGAUGACACAGAGAAAUUUAGGGGCAAUUUAGGAAGAGGAAAAACAAACAGGACACAGUGCACGUUUUGGAUAUUAUUUUACCUAUGAAAAUCCAUAUAUUUUCCACAUCAGUAGCCCAAAACCUAACUUUCCCUAUAAGCUAUCCUAAGUCUUCCUACUUAGCACUGAUGUCAAAAAUGACCUAAGUGAUGAUGAUUGGUUUCCCAAAGAGAAUGACAUGGAUGUGGGCAACUAAUAGGAGUUUUGGGUCAAAAUGGCCCAUUUGUGAAACUUAAUGUUCAAAAUGGGCACAUUUUGAAACUAUUAUUCAAAAUGGCCUCUUUGAUGCCACGUAGGUGCCACAUCAUUAAAAAAUAUUUUUUUUUCGUCAUUAUAGUGAAAGCCGCAGUUGGGAAACGCGGCUUCAUUUUUGCACUAAAGCCGCAGUUGGCAAAUGCGGCUUCAUUUUUGCACUAAAGCCGCAUUUGGCAAAUGCGGCUUCAUUUUUGCACUAAAGCCGCAUUUGCCAAAUGCGGCUUUAGUUAAUUUUUAUUUAAAUUUAAAAUUUAAUUAAAAAAUUAUUAAAUUACUUAAUAUACUUAAAAAUAAUAAAUUAUUUAUAUUUAAAAAUAUACUUAAAUAAUAAAUUAUUUAUAUUUAAACUUAAAAAUCUAGUAUUAUUUCAACAAACAUAAAUUGAUAAAUAGAAGAUAUUAUAAAUGAAUAUUUGAUUUAUUAAUAAAUUAAUAAUCUUAAAAUAAUAAACUUAUAUAACAUAUAAAUAAUAUAUAAAAUUGUAUAAUUUAUUAAUUUAAUAUAUUUAAUUUGUUAAUUUUUAAGAUAUUAAUUUAUUUAUAUUAUGAUAAAUUUAUCUUUAUCGAAAUAAUAGUAUAGUAGUUAAUAACUGAGAUUUCAAUUAUAAUUUUUUUUUUUUACUUUCCAAUUUAAUUAAAAACUAUUAAAUCACAAUUUAUGAUUGAAAUUUUAAAAAUAUACUUAAAUAAUAAAUUAUUUAUAUUUAAACUUAAAAAUCUAGUAUUAUUUCAACAAACAUAAAUUGAUAAAUAGAAGAUAUUAUAAAUGAAUAUUUGAUUUAUUAAUAAAUUAAUAAUCUUAAAAUAAUAAAUUUAUAUAACAUAUAAAUAAUAUAUAAAAUUGUAUAAUUUAUUAAUUUAAGAUAUUUAAUUUGUUAAUUUUUAAUAUAUUAAUUUAUUUAUAUUAUGACAAAUUUAUUUUUAACAAAAUAAUAAUAUACUCUUAAGCCGUAGUUGUCAUAUAUAGAUUUUUUUACAAAAUUAGUUAAUGAAAUUAAUUACAAAAAGUCUACUACAAAAUGUAAUUUUUAAUAGUUUAAUUAAAGUCACAAAAAAUAUCCACUAAACAUUAAUAUAGUGGAAAAUAAAAAACAUAUAUAAUCUCACAUGCCUCCACAAGGAGAAAAUCUAUGUGUAACUGGUACUCUCUUCCUUUUUGGAUGCCCCUCUCUAACUGUAGCAGGUACUGCAUGUGACACAUGAAGAACAUUUGUCUGUGAUGGGGCUAGAGCUGGAAAUAGAGGUGGUGGAGGAGGUAGCAAUCUAGGUCGACGUAAGCCCCGCCUACCCCUUGGAAUGACUGGCGGUAAGUCUAGCUGAGUAGAUGUGUCAAUCUGCACUAAUGGUGGGUCUGAAGAGGUAGGAGGUUGUGAUGGAGGUAGGUCUAAAGAGGUAGGGGGUUGUACUGAUGGUGGGUCUGAAGAGGUAAGGGGUUGGGCUGAUGGUGGGUCUGAAGAAGUAGGGUGCUGCACUGAUGGUACGUCUGAAGAGAUGGGUGACUGUACUAAUCGUGAGGAUAAAAAGGUAGGGGGCUGUAAUGAUGCUGAUACUGACGAUGUGAUGGGAUGACAACUACUAUAUCUACUUCUCCCUCGAGAUGUCGACCGACCUCGAACAAGUGGUGGUCGAGCAACUGUCGACUGAGCUGGUGACCUAUCUCCUCCAUGCUCUACAUGUGGGAGACGAUAAUCCUCCCGAAUAAUGCACAUAACAUCAGUGGCCAUACGAAUAAUAUCAACAAUACCAGUGCGGCAAGCAUCAAUAUCAGAGUCCUCUAAUGCAUGACCUCCUCGAGAUAUGAUAGAUGUCAUAGUCUCAAUCUGUCACAUAAAAUGAUAUAUAAUUAUUUGUUGGAAUAAAUAUUAUACAGAAUAUGUACAUAAUAUUAAAGUGAUACGAACCAAUAAGUGGGCAGAUAAAGCAGUAGCCUGGUACCGCAUAGGUCCAAAAUCACUCAUAGGUGUAAUAAAACGACGUGUAAUACGACGAUACCAUGUCAUGUACGGAGCAUGGUAGUCCAUAUGAGGCCCUAUAGGCGCCGCAGUGACAAUGUGGUCCCCCCUAGCCUCCCAUAAUGCCACGUAGUGCUCAUGAUACAACCUCCAAUCAAACUGAGGUCGACCACGUCGAUCUAUGGAGUGAAGGUCAGAAUCUAUAGGGGGUGUCGAAGGAAUACCUUGUAUGAGUCCAAACUGUCGCAACACACGCUCAGGACGAUGCCACUCAACAAUAUAAAAAAAAAUAAGUGGUGACAUCGUCCGCCAAAUAUCCUGAUCAGCUAAACAAAUGUCUGGAAGCAACGCUAGUAUAUCAUCUGUGUAAGGCUGCCAUAAUACCUGAUAUAUUCAUAGAUGAGUAUGUAUUUAAUGAAGUAUAAAUUAUAUUAUUAAUAUUAAGAUGUUCAUGUUAAAGAAUACUAAUAUUUAGCCCAAACCUGAUCAGAUCGCUGUCUAUCAAACUCAUCUCUGUAUGUGACCAACACAUGAUGAGGAGUGUCUGUAUGAGAUAAGGGAACUCUCCACCUACUCCCUAGUGCAUCUGGUGGGAAUCUCUCAUCUAUAGGCACUGGUGCAUGGGGAAGUGAUCUACUAGGACGACCCACAUGUAAUCGCUCCCAUGACCAUAGCUAAAAAUGAAAUAAAAUUAUGUUUAAGUGCAUAUAAUUAUGACAAAAUUACAUAAUUAAUAAGAUUAGUAGUUAUACCUGCAACAAAUGUAAUGGUCCUGCAAUAGAUUCUGCACUAUCUAAGCUAGCUCGACAUAACUCCCGAUAAAGAUGUGCUAGUGUCGCACUCCCCCAACUAUACUGUGCAGUCUCACCAAAAUCUCUUAACAUGGGUAGAAUUGCUAAUUGGAUGUAAACCCCCUUCUUAUCUGUAAAUAAUGAACCACUAACUAACAAUAAAAGAUAAGCUCUAGCAUGGCGCUGUAACGUAACCUCAUCUACAACCCCUGGUGGUAAGCGGGAGAAAUGGGUAGUAAUAAAACGAACUGUAAGGGAUGCUCCACGAAUAUCAGUCUCUGCCGGUCGAACACCCAAUAACUCCUCACAAAGUGCAUGCCAAUCAAUAUCUGUAGAACCAGUGACAGGAUGGCCAUGUACACGUAAUCCGAAUAAAAUGGCUACGUCUUGCAAUGUGAUGGUCAUCUCACCAACAGACAUGUGGAAUGUGUGCGUCUCUGGGCGCCAUCUCUCUACCAGUGCAGUAAUCAAAGGCCAAUCAACCUUAACAUGGCCCACUCGAUGAAAGACAUAAAAUCCUGACUGUAUAAUGUAUGGCCGAACACGAUCAUCCAAAACCCACUCUCGAAGCAUCCUAUGUCGGCAACUCAAAACACUACCCAUAUCUGGAUCAACACGAAUGGUGGAUGAUCGAUGUCGAUGCUGAAGAGUAAGCACAGAUGUAUCCUCAGGGUCAGGACGAGCACGAAACAACGGAGUAUCCAUGUCUGCAUGUACAUCAAUACAUGAUAUAAACAAAAUAUGAAUGAAUUGACAAGAAACAAUAAUAUCUAACAACAUGAAUUUCAUCCCAAAUAAAUUGUUAAAAUUUGAACAGCAUUUCCCCUAAACAGUAGAGAUUCAAAAUUUUUCAAUGUAACCUGAUAUAAGAAAAAUAUGAAUGAAUUGAAAAAAAACAACAAUUUCUAACAACAUUAAUUUCAUUAUUAAAAUUUUAAAAAUUUGAACAGCAUCUCCCCUAAAUAAUAGAGAUUAAUAUUUUUUUCAUGUAACCUGAUAUAAGCAAAAUAAGAAUGAAUUGACAAAAAAUAAUAAUUUCAAACAAACAAACGUCAAUAAGAUGUUCAAUAAGAUAGUUUCUACAUAUAUCUUAAAAACGAUUAAGGUCAAUACUAGUAAAUUUAAAAAAAAAUAACAGUACAAUAAGAUGUUCAUGAAGUACAUCAACUCCUCCUAUCAUUGGUUUCUCUAUUAGGACAAGAACGCCGAUUGUGACCCGAUUGCUUGCAAAGUCCACAUGUUUGAGGAGUCCUAGUUUCCCUUGCAUCCAUCUCAUUAUGCAAACGACUUGAUUUUGGUCGACCAGAAGUUAGCCGUUUCAUUGAGUCUGAAGGCACAAUUAUCGGUCCAUUAUAUUGAGGCCACUCCAACUCAUCAAAUAUGGGAUAAAACAAGGGAGCCCAUGUUGAUAAGUAAGCACGUGUGGUGUAAUAACCUUGUACAAAUUGUCGAAAAUCAAUUGCUCGACAAUGACAAGCAGCAAGAAUGUGCGAACAUGGGAAUCCUAACAAAAGUGUUUUGUUACAUGUGCAAGACCCCGUUUGAAGGGUAACAUGAUAUGUGCGAGGUUUCCUAUUACUGCUUCCAACCGAGUGUCUAGUUUUAACAUGAAAACGUCCCGCCACAUGAUCAUACAAACGAACCUCAUGUGCACCCGCCUUAACAACUUUAGCCUUUAUCUUGGCGUCAAUAUGUGGAGUGAAUUCUUCACCUGAAGCGAGCCGACUGGCACCAUGCUCCCGCCUGACUGUGAAGUAACUGUUAACCCGAUAAAAAGUUAACUGGACUAAAGCUGUUAUUGGUAAGGUACGAGCACCCUUAAGGACACCAUUAAAAACUUCAGACAUAUUAGUUGUCAUAAUCCCAUAUCUCCGCCCACCAUCAUAUGAAAGUGCCCAUUUUUCCAGAGGAAUUUGCUCCAACCAAUUUCUAGCCUCCGCAUUUAUCCGGCCAAUUGUAUCCAUGUGAGAAAUAAAUUUUUUAACUUUACCUCUCCAUGGCAGCNNNNNNNNNNNNNNNNNNNNNNNNNNNNNNNNNNNNNNNNNNNNNNNNNNNNNNNNNNNNNNNNNNNNNNNNNNNNNNNNNNNNNNNNNNNNNNNNNNNNAAUGCCAGGAUGACGAUCAGAAAUCAGACACAACCCUUUCCUUUGUGUUACUCCAACUCGGAUACAUGCCAAAAACCAACUCCAACUAUCUGUAUUCUCUCCUUUUGUAAUGGCAAAUGCAAGUGGAAACAAUUGGUUAUUACCAUCACAUCCCAUAGCAAUCAGCAAAGUCCCUUUAUAUUUUCCAUACAAAUGUGUCCCAUCAAUACUGAGAACUGGUCGACAGUGUGCAAACCCUAUAAUAGAUGGAGCGAAUGCCCAAAAAACACGCUGAAAAAUUUCUUCAUUCGGAUUGUUUCCAGGAACCGUUUUGGAAUACAUAAUGCAUCCAGGAUUUGACUGCUCUAAGGCAAGGAAGAAACGAGGCAACUCUGCAUAAGACUUGUACCAAUCACCAAAUAAUCGAGUCAUUGCUUUCCUUUUUGCCUUCAUUGCUUUUUGAUAAGAAAUUUGGUAACCAAAUUGUUCCGCAACAACAGCUUGAAUUGCACCAAUUGUAACGGUCAUUUCUGCCUUCACCAAUGUUUCAAUAUACUUAGAUACAAAGCUAGAAUCCAACUGUGAAUGAUCUUGAUUAAUACAUGGAUUGACACAUGUAUGAGGACCUUUGUACUUUGUGAUUCUAAACAUACCCGUAUCUUUCACUGUCAUUGCCCUUAGUCGUCAUUGGCAAUGUGGUGCUUUUUUACAUUGAAGAACUAACACACUUGCAUUUGAUCUAUAAACAGUAAACUCUUGGUGCGCCUUUAUGGAAAACAUCUUCACAGCAUGUUGCAAAUCUGAUUUUGAGGAAAAUAUUUGGCCAAUUGAUAAUUCUCCAUCAACAUUUCCUAAAGUUGGCUUUUUCCAUGGAGUCCAAUCACUUACAACACAAUUAAUUGCCGCGUCCAUAUUUAAAAAUUGUGGUGUAGGUGGCAUAUGGUAUGAGAUGGGUACAAAUGUUUCCUGUAGGUUGUCAUUAGAGAUAUUAAAUUGGGUACCAUGUGGAGAGGCAACUAGUGAUGUGUUUUCAACCUCAAACUCAACCUCAGGAUUAUUAGACCUAUCACCAACUUCAAGGUUCACAAAUCUUGUGUUUUCACAUUCCACAACUUGUUGGACCAUCACCAAAUCAAUAUUUUCUGUUUGACAACAAUUUUCAUCAUCAUUAGGUAAAUGAAUCUCAUCUGUGUCGAUUGCAUCAUCUCUAUCAUCUUCCUCAUCUCUCUCAUUUUCGUCAUCAACAUCAGUAUCACCUGUUGAUAAUCGUGUCAAAUGACCCAUUUCAUUACUCAAAUGAUAAUGGUUGGGAGUUUGCUCUAUGAAUAAUUGAACUGAAGACAUUCCAUACUUUGAUGGCACCAGUAGCAUACGUGCAACUGUCCGAUCAUUUCUCACCACUAAUGGUUGAAAUUUGUUCAUUUCAGUUGGAUGACGACAUUUCAAGACUAACUGAUCGUCUCUGUCAACACCAAUGAUAUCAUAUAUCAUCUUCAACAACUCCACAAAAGUCGUAUGAAUGGGCACAUCUAUAGGCUCAAUCUCUACAUUAUUUCCAAUAUAUCUCAAGUCCGUUUCUGUCCUCAAAAUUGUUCCAUUCCAAUAACAUAGCACUUCUACUGUGGAAUCAGUCAUACUGGCCUUCACAUAAAUAAUAACAAAAGGUUAUUACAUAAAAAAAAUUUAUAUUUAUUUAAGUAAAAAAUAAUAUUUUAUGGUCAAUGAUUCAUAAAAUACAAUAAUAAACCUAAUAAAUAUUGGAAUGUAACAAAACUUCAUGUCUAAAUACCAAGUUCAACUCAAAUGAAAGCAAUGUAUAAGCAAAUAAGUAUAUAAGUAAAGAGUAGGAUGAUAUUAUGAAUUAAUAUUAUUUUUGUGGUCCAAUAAAAUGUUUUACAUGUGUUUGGGUUACAAACACGUUUAAUUUAUUUUUCUAAUUUCAUAAUUAGGAUGAGAUUAACUUUUAAUAUUUUUUUGAUAAAAUGAAAUUAAUAUUUUUAUAUUAAAAAAUAAAUUUUAAAAUAAAUAUGUGUUAAUUAUGUUAAUUCUUUUACAACUCAAAAUUAUCUAUUAAAUAUAUUUUUUAAAAUAAAUAUAUGUUAAAUAUGUUAUUUUAAAUAAAAAAUGAGAUUUUAGUAAUUGCAAGAAAUCUACCCUAGUCCACAAGCUAAGGAAUAAUUUUUAGAAUACACAUAUUUUGAAUAGUGAACUCUAGUACCUCCUAACCACACAAUCAACCAUAGAUUAGGAUCCCCACAAAAUCAAAUGUGUAAUGAGAAAAAAAAUCAACCAAUACGAGAACUACCUAAGAUGAAGAUACAAAUAUUCUGAAAUUUAGGUUGAGGAUAAGAAAUAAUACAAAGAAAGUGAAACAGUGACGUGGAUGAAUUGACAAUACCUACUAAAGAAAGGAAUUAAAUGAAAUCCUAAAUUACUCUAUAAAGUGCAUUUAGGUAAUUUUGCAGAUUUGGCGUUUUUUAAUGUUAUUAGUAAAAAAUUGGUACUUCAAUUGUAUUCAUAAUUUGAAAAGUUUUUUUAUUGAAACUUUCUUCUUAAAAGAAGUGUAAAUAUUUCUAAACUUUCUAUUUUAUAAAUUAAUUUCUUUUCUCUUAAGUUUCUAGUUUGAGUCUUCAGAAUUUUGAAGUCUUUGUUAUUAGAAAUUUUAUCCGAAGGUGUUUCUAUAAAGUAGGAUGUUAAUUCUACAAAUGGAGUUUUUUUUUUUUUUUUUUGAUUUUAUUUUUCAAAGAUUUAGGAGUUCUCAAAAAUGAACAAUAGUCCUAACAAGUUGCUACAUAGGUUAGGUUUGCUUUCCAUAAUUUUUUUAGUUUUAAGGGUUCUAAAACUUUAUAAAUAAAGCUAAUGGAUGUAAAAGGGGAUGAUGAUUAAUGAUCCAAAGAUUUUUAUUUUUAUUUUUUUAUGGGUGCAAAUUUUGCAAUUUUCAUGGUAGGACUUAAUUAUUUUACUUCUAAGUGAGACUCCUAGGGCCUAUGUAAGUUUGUAAGAUUGCUUCUUUAUCUUUUUUUUUUUCCUAUUUUUUAUUUUAUUUUUUCCCUACUAUUAUAAUUUUAUCUUUCUUCUCCUUAAAUCUCAAAAGACUAAAGUCCUAGUCUUAUUCCAAAGUUUCAAAUUUCAAACCAACCAACUACCCUUUUGAUUUGAAUAAUUAACAAUUACUAGGGUGGGUCCCCUUGUGUUAUUCAAAAGCCAACAAUUAUCUAAUUGAUUUUUUUUUUUUAUAAAUAAAGAGAAAUUUUUCUAAUUGAAAUUUGAUAAUUGAUUAAUGAACAUCACGCAUAAUUGUGGUAUUAUGUUGACUUGUUAUGAAAUUAAAUAAUAUUUUUUAACAAAAACAAGAUAUUAAGUAAAUUAACAAUUGAAAAUAUGAAAAUAAAAAUAAAUAACACUAUAUUUUAUAAAAUUUAUUUAAAAGUGAAGUAUUUAAAUAUGAUAUAUUUAUAAAAAUGACUCUACUACACCUUCAAAAAUUAAUUCUUAUAUUCAUUUAUUCAUUUAAAUAUUCAAAUAUAUAAAUAUUUUAUAAAUUUAGUCAUUUACUUAAUAUCAAUAGGAAAAUUUAGUAAUAUUAAUAUAAAUUUAGUAAAUUCAGUUAAUUCCAUAGGAAAAGUGAUAAGCUGAUGUACUUAAUACCAGAGCAAACCCAUAAUAAUAAUUCCACAGGAAAAUUUCAUAAUAAUAAUAUGAUAAAAUUAUUUUUAUUAAUAUCUUUUUUAUUUAAUAUUUAAUUUUAUUAAAAAUUAUAAUAUAUUCUAUUAAGAUGAGAUAAAAUUGUUCUCAUGAUUUGUUUUUUUUUUUUUUUUAACUCUAUUAAAUCUAAAAAUCAAAAUGCUACCCACUGGCUGAACGUUGUUGCAUGAAGAACCCCUUUUCUGAAGUUGCCUUCCAGCCGGAGAAUCCCUAAAAAAACCCUUCUCUCACUCUGCCACUCUCAAUCCUUGCAGGUACUAAUCUAAUCAUGUUAUUAUUUUUUUUUUGCAACCCCCUUUGAUUCCCAAUAAAAUCCAUGCCCCAUUCGAUUUCCGGGAAAAUUCAUCCUCGUUUGAUUUCCGAGAAAAUCCAUGCCCCAUUCGAUUUUUCCGAAAAUUCAUCCUCGUUUGAUUUCCGAGAAAAUCAUGCAAAACCCCCAAGGAAAACCAAAAAAAUUGCUUUUCUUUUGCUCUUUGUGUUUUCUGGAUCCAUUUUAGGGGUCUCUUUGCUGUUGUGCCAUUGGAUUUAAAUUUCAAGAACCCUAAAUCAAAACUGACAAACGGGAAAAAUCAAGAAUUUUUUUCUUUCUAUUUUCAUUCUCGUUUCCCACUUUUCUCAGCAUCCAACGGGAAAAAUAAAAAUACUAACAACACAACACAACAACACAUGAUAAAAAAAACUCAGAUCUGAAAAAAAUUCACACUAACCUCAACCUCCAACGUCAGUGGCCCACUGGUGGGGCUUGGAUUUUUAAGGAAAAGCUGGGAAUAGAGAGCAGAUCGGAUGGAGUUGUAGCUCUAAUGUCUCCCUCAGUGGCCCACUGGUGGGCCUAGGGUUUUUAACAAAAAAAAACUACACGCAGAUAACAGGGGAAGCAUAACAGGGGAAGAGAACAGCUCCGUGUUUGGGAAAGUAAAAAAUACAAAGAGAACAGGGGAAGAGAGCGGCUGUUUGGGAAAGUCAAAGAUAAAAAGAAUAAAAAAAUAUUUUGUAUGUUGACGUGGGCUGAGAAGGGCUAGUGUGAACAUUUGUUUCAAAAGCAGGCCAUUAUGUGCAUUUUGUUUGAAUGGAAGGCUACUUUGACCCAUAAGUCAACUAAUAGCCUAAUCUAUGUUCGGUGGGAGAAAGGAAAGAAGGUAUAGGAGAAAUAUGUGGCAAUGACCUAAGUUGACUUGGUGAAGUCAACCAAGGAAAUAUAGGUAUGGAGCAUAUGAGGCUCACCAAAAAGCAUAACGAGAAUGGUGACAAGCUUAGAGUGAAUAAGGCAUUGAACCUCAACAAAAAAAAUUUAGGUAGAGUCUUCGAUAAGGCAUGCAUGCGAAGAGCUCGACGAAUAGAAAAAAGGGUGACAAGAAUGGUUUGGUUGUACAUGGAGACUUAAAAUGUAAGCCAAACCACAACAAAAUGGAUAUUUGCAUAGAACAUCUAGACAUAGUGAGGAUAUAGAACCCCAUUAAGAGACGUGAGAGGCUCCCAACCUCUCUGAUGGGAAAUAAUAGGAAGAUCUGUUUCUCAAAAAACGCUUAAGGUAAUACCAUACUCGAUCUCAAACCUAUAAAUAAAUAACUAAGCAUAGUACCGGUCUAGAGAAGCCUAAAAAAAGAAACAUUCAAUUGGAAGAUCAUCUAAGUCAAAAGGACCUUGUAUAGGGAUGCUUAUGACAGGCUCCGAGGAUGAAGGCAUAGGAGGUGGCUCCGAUUCUUAUGCAUCUAUGACCUAAGAUACUAGUUCUAAAGUGAAGAGUGGAAAGACAUGGAAAACGAAAAGCUACUUGAAAACCGCAUGAAGAGCUCAAAAGGUAGUUAUAAACAUUCUUAUGGAAUUGCAAUGAAUGAAAAAUUACCUAAAAAGCCUUUAGAACACAAGGAGACCUAAAGAGAGAGCAUGAGCAACGACUUGAGAUGAAAGAAUAUGAUAAAUGGGGCACUAAAAGGCUAUUUAUUGUCAUUGGUAUGAGUGGGAGCAUUAGCAAAGCACCAAAACCUAGAUUAGUCCUCAAGCGCUCAGUGAGCGUUAUAAGCCCCUAAGAGCUCUUUGAUACCUUUUUAUCAAGUCCCAAUUAUAGAUGGAGUAGUCUUUUGAACAUUUGAACCGUCUUUUCUAAUGAAGAUAGCCUAAGAUGAUAAACCCUUAAGCCUAAGAAUGCCUUAAAAGAUAUGAGAGACCAUCAAUCACGACCUAGAGCUCUAAGAAUCCAUAGAAACCUAAGAUUAUUUUGAAAAUUGUUUUUGACACACUUUUCGAGAGAAUGGAGGGGAAAUGUUUUUAAAAUCUUAGAGAUAACUAUUUUUGGAAACCGUUUUUUAUUUUUAAGGAAAAAAAAACACAUUUCACAAAAAAAAAACAUAAAACUAUUUUUUAAUUUUAAAAAUGAAAGAAAUGAUAUUUUUAGAUUUUUUUUUUUAAUUAUUUUCACUUGUUUUCGAUUGUUAAAAAAAAAAAAAUAUAUAUAUAUAUAUAUAUAUAAAUAUAAAAAAUAAUUAAACCAUAUAUAAAAAAACAAGGUGAAAAUAUCAUAACUUAUCAAACAGAUUUUUUUAAAUUUGUUACAAAAACUGUAUUUGUAAACGGAUAGAUAUUCGAAAACAAUUACGAAGAGCGCUUAAGAUAUUAUUUCUACUAGUGAAGUCAAAGCAUAGCCAACACACCUGUUUCUUGCUCUGCAUGUGUGCCACAUACACAGAAACCAAUCAAAGCCACGUACUCGUCAGAAAACCCCUAGCCACCGUAAGCCGCCAACACAACCGUCUCUUUCCCCGGAAAAACCAACCUCCUUAUGGCCAUCAUCACCUCUCUUCUCCUCCAACCUCUCUCUAUCUCCACACCCACACUCCAGAACAGCAGAAAUCACAGAUUUCGAAUUGGGUUGACACCCCCCCCACGUAAUAGUCUCAAAAAUUAAUCUUACUUAUAUAGUUUGUAGUAAAAAUCAAAUCAACCAUAAUUUUUAAUGAAAAAUAAAAGCAAACUAUAUAUAUAUAGUUUAGCGGGAUCAAAUUGAGGGCACACAUGCCCCAACCUUCCUUGGCUUCGCUAGUGGAAUAAAAGGAAGUACAUAUAUAUAUAUAUAUAUAUAUAUAUAUAUAUAUAAAUGAAUAACAUGAAAUUAUUAUUAUUAUUAUUAUUAUUAUUAGUAUUAGUAUUAGUAUUAUUAUUAUUAGUAUUAUUAUUAUAAAUGAAUAAAAAGAAGUAAAUAUAUCAAGUGUCCAAAGGUUUUGACUAAAUAUACCAAAUUCUUGAUAAAAUAACGGUAGUUUAUGUCCAAAUUUGUUCAAAUUUAUUAAAAAAAAAAUCAAUUAAAAAAACAUAUAUCAUUAAAGCUGACAUUUUUCACAUUUGCAUGUAUAAAAUCACAUUUGACAUAAACAUCUCUCUAAAAUCAAAAUUGAUAAUUGUCAUAUUUUGAAAGAAUUUAUAAAUUUUCGUUUUAAUUUUAUCAAUGAAAUUGACAUUUGGGUUCCGAAAUCCUGGCUAAGGCGUACUUGGUAUACCGUGUGUCGACCAUAGAUUAAAAUAUCGGAUUUUACGGAUAUAUCGGUACUUCGGUUUUACGGAUAUAUUAGAAAUAUUGAAGAAAAAUCGAUGAAUAUUUUUUUUAUAAAUAUCGGUGCAGUAAAAAUUAUUUAAAAUUCAUAGGAAUACUUGAAAAAACUAAAAAAAUAAAAUAAAAUAAGUAAGAAUGCAUAUUUUAAAGUUAUCUUAUAAAUGUAAUUGACAUAUAUAUAUAUAUAUAUAUAUAUGAUCAAGAAGAAAAAUAUCAUAAAUAGAGAUAUAUUGAUAGAUUCAAUAUUUGAAUUUUAAAAAUAAUAAAUAUGAAUUUUGAAAGUGUAUAAAGUUAUAAUUGAGUUAAGAAAUAUUUGAUUUUAUUGAAUAAAAAUAAUUUAUACAUAAAUAUAAUAUAUAUGACAUUGUAACAGUCUUUAGUAUCAAAAGGAAGAUCGAUGUGGUUUCAUUAUAUUAUUAGAUGAAGGGAAUCUAACUUGUUGAAGACAAUAUUUAUUUAAAAAAUUUUAAAAUACUUUUAUUAAAACAUGUGUUUAUUAUAUUUUAAAUGAAAAUUAAAUUAAUUUAUAUAAAAUAUUUUAUUUGAGAUUUAAUUUUUAAAAUUUUAUUAAAAAUAUAUAGUAAUAACUUUUUUUUAUUAAUAUUAAUUUAUUUAAUAAUCAAAAUAAAAUUCGAUAAUUUAUAAUUAUUUAUAUAGAUAGAGGAAAAUUGUUCUCAUGAUUUGUUUUUUUUUUUUGACCUCUACUAAAUCUAAAAAUUAAAAGGGCCACCCACUUCCGAAGUUGCCCUCCACCCGAGAGAAUUCCUAAAAAAGACCUAUUUUCCUCUGCCACUCUCAAUACUCGCAGGUACUAAUCUAAUCACGUUGUUAUUAUUUUUUUUGCAACCGCCGUUUGAUUCCCAAGAAAAUCCACCCCCCAUUCGAUUUCCGGGAAAAUUCACCUUCGUUUGAUUUCCGAGAAAAUCCAUGCAAAACCCCAAGGAAAACCAAAAAAAUUGAUUUUCUUUUGCUCCCUGUGUUUUCUGGAUCUGUUUUAGGGGUCUCUUUGCUGUUGUGCCAUUGGAUUUAAAUUUCACGAACCCCAAAACCACGAUUUUUGAGCCAGGCUGAAAAACACAACCUUUGCCUGCAAGUCAUGAUCAGAUUAACAAAUAGCAUCUUGUGUUUUUUUGUUUUGAAAAAAAAUGGACAGAUUUUGUAUCCUGUGCGCGGGCUGGACUGGUAGGAAAUAUCGGCGAUAUUUUGAAAUCCACCUCCGGUUGCUCCGCGCGUCAGAUCACUCGCGAUUUAUCUCCGAUUUAUCGGUCAUCCACCGAUAUUUCGGCGAAAUAUCGGAAAUUGCCGAUUUUUUUGACGAUAUUCCUGGAAAUUGAUAAUCGGGGUCAAAUAUCGUUUCGAGGCCGACCGAUAUCCGAUAUUUCGGAGAAAUAUCGCCGAUAAAUUCCGAUUUUUCCAUCCAGUGGGGGAAGUCGGGGUUGGUGACGCAGCGACCCCUUACCAAAAUUUCACCGAUAAAUACCCCUUACAGAUCGCAUUUCCAACUACCACUGCCUUCUUUCCUCCUUUUCCUCUAUUCGGCCACUCUCGCCUCGUGCCAACCCCCUCUUGGAUCUCUUCAAUGGCUUACGAAGGAAUCCUCCUGGGCAUGGGCAACCCCCUCCUCGACAUUUCUUCUGUCGUCGACGAAGAAUUCCUUCAAAGGUAACUCUACUCUCCUUUGUUCUGCGGUUCGUCGUCCUCUGCUUUUCAAAUGCUGCGUUUUGAUUCUGUUUUUGUUCUUGGAUCCGUUCUUAUGGUUGUGUUUUAGAUCUGACUGGUUGGGGGUAUGUGUUUGGUAGCGUUCUCAGAUCUGGUUGGUGGCUGAGAGUACUGAGGAAAGGGAAAGGGAUUGAAAUGAAAUAUUUUGGGGAGUGAAGUAAUCACCGAAACUAAGCUAGAUUAUUUUUAUUUGAUUAUUAUUUGUUUUAAUGAUGGAUCUGAAUUCCACAUUUUUGCUUGAAUUGGUACUAUAGAUAUUAGUUUGAUAGGCUUGGAUCUGCAUUUUGCUUUCCUUUUUUUGUGGUGGUGAGGACAAUGACAUUGGAGUUUAGCGGGAUCAAAUCGAUGUAGAGAUAGUGAUAUUCACUUUCUAUAUUUUCGUUUUUCAUUUUUAUAUGGAAAAGAUUUAAGAGUUGCUUUAAAAGAUUUCAAUGGUUAACAUAGAUUCCAUUCAAAUUGGUGUUGCGGCCUGAUUAAGGGAUCUGAUCCCUCAAUCUUUAGUUUCUAUUUAGUUUAGGGAAUAAAGGAUCCUUAGGACUAGUUUCUAUUUUUAUUUAGUUUAGGAAAUAAAGGAUCCUAAGGAUUAGUUUAGUUUGAACACCAAUCUUUUGGUAAAUGAUGGACAUACUGCUACAUGUGAUCAAUUUGAUCAUGCUCAUCUUUUAUUCCUUAGGGAAUUCAUUACUGUUGGUAAAUAUUUUGGAUACCCAUGUGUGCUCUGCUUGCUAAAUUUUUUACAUAUAAACUCUACAGUGGUCUCAAGUUCAUGGGAUGUUGGUGCACAAGGAACUAUGAUCCGUUCUAUUCCUACCAUGGUUUAAUCAUAGCCUUUUGCUAACUUGACAUGGUUUGAGUCAUAUCGUCUGUUGUUUUUUUCUAGGUCAUAUAAAUUACUAUAUGCUGGUUAUUUUAUAUAUAUACGUAUGUACUUAUUAUGUUUUAUUUUUCUUUUUGGUGAAACUAAGGGUGAUACAAAAACACCUAGAUGGUACUGAAAUCUUAAAAGCUAAAAUUGGAUGGGAUUGUCUGUCAAGGGGCAAAAAUGUGCUCUCCUCUUGGUCAAUCAGUUGGGUACCUGAUUGGAUGCUCUAUGUAAACAUGAAAAAUGCGCAAAAAAACUCCCUUCCCCUAGGACUGUAUCCUUUUUAACCAGCACUCUGGGUCCUUCCCUCUUUGAAGAAAUUUAUGAAAAUUACCAUAUAAUCCCUUCCAUUAAGGCCAUGUUUGGUUACUGAAAUGGUGAAUUGGGAAUGAUUGUUGAAUUCUUAUUCCAGCCAUUUAAGUGUGUGGCUCAUGCACAAACAUUUGGUUUUUUGGGGGGAUUGAAAUUCAUCAAGGGAUGUGAAUUUGCUAAAAGGAGUACUAGGAAAGGUUUUUAUCAUAAUUCAAGCUGACCAAUCAAGUCAACUUCAUUUGCAUACUGAUAGAUCAGAAUAAAUCAGAAUUAUAAGAUGUUCUAGACAAUGUCAAAUGAAAGGAGUCCUACCAGGGUAGGCCUAGUUGGUGAGGGAAAAUGUUGGGUGAUAUGGUCCCAAUUUUGAAUCAUGCCACUGAUGAUACCCUAAUUUACUCGAUGCUAGUUGUUGUGGGAGUGGUUAGAACCCUAAGGUUUGAGUCCCCAUGGAGAGUCCUAAGAGCUUGGUCAUGGAAAGUUCCUCAGUUAUAAAAAGAAAAAAAAGGGAGAGAGACAAUUUAAAUGAGAGGAUUUUACAAAUUUUGGGUAGAUUCACAUUUUAUUCUCUAUUAUUACUAUAAAUCGUACUUUUAGAAUAUUUUUUACAUGAAAAAAAUAUCAUUGGUGUUAUUAUCAAUCACUUUUGCUUUUUCAAAUUUUUUGCCUAAAAACUAUUAUUAUCCUUAAUAAUUACUAUUAAAAUUUGAACUCAUUUUAAUGUAUAUGGAACGAAAUAUAAGUUGUGAAGUCUUGUUGAUUUUUAUAACAUGUUUAAUCUUGAAUUUAUUUUUGAAAUUUUUAUUUUUUAUUCUUCAUUGUCAAUUGGUUUUUAUUAUGAAAAUGCUAGGAUGAUAUUUAUGCAUUAGGUAAUUAUGGAUAUUAUUAUAUUUUAUUAUAUGUUUAUAUAGGUAUUGGGGUUAUAAUCAUUUAAAUGGCUAUUUAAAUUUAAAGGUAUUUUUGUAAAUAGACUUGUUAAAUGGUUUUAUUAUAAUGUGAUAUUCUAUAAUAGCAUACAUUGUAUUUUAUAGGUUUUUGAAUAAUUUAUUUAUUUGAGCAUGUGGACUUGAAAGCAUAUUAGUAGAAAUUUAGCAUAAAUUUGUUUUCAUUCCUAUACAAACAAAUAUUGAAACAGAAAUGGAAAAUAAAUUUAUGAUUUUGAAUCUUGUCCUUGUUGUAUAUUGAGUAAGAAAAGUUGAUUCCUAGUUUCUACUUUCUAGGAAUGGAUAACGCAAGCCUAUAAUGUCAUUCCAUGAAUUAAAUAAGGCCUAAAAGAUUCCUAAUACCUAAUACAUAUGUCAGGCAGGUGAGACCAACAGAUUUCUCGGAAACUUGAAAUUCCAAGUGAGAGAAGAGGAAGUAUUGGAAUGUAGGACAGUAGAGAGAAAAGUAUAUAGAUUAAUGAAAUAAAAGUAGAAAAAAAAAAUCUAAAUAAUUAUGAAUAUUAUUUAUCAAAGUCAAGAGAAAAUUAAUCCCUAGUAUGGGACUAAUUUUAAUGUUGAUAUAAAGAAUCGUAACUAUGAUAGAACUCUAUCACAAAAUGAUGAUGACCCAAAAAUAAUAUAUUUAGGCUCAACAAAAAUGCGUAGUUUAACAUCUUUAUCUCUCGGUCACAUCAGGAACUAGGAAAAUGACAAAACAAGAGCUCUUUAUGCUAGGCAGGUGAGAAAUGUGAUUUCUUGAAAAAGGGAAAUUCCAAGUGAGAGAAAACUGGGGGUGUCAGGACCUGUGCUAAUGUUAGCUAUAGAAGAAUUACUUCAUAUCGAGAAUUGGGAUAGGCAGGGAGGAGAGAUUGAGAGGUUGCUCCUCCUAUAGAAAUCUUUCCAAAAAUGUGUUUUAGGGAUAUUUUUUACAUUGCAUUUGAUAUGAGCACAACGGAAAAUAUGGAGAAAUGGGUUUUCUGUGGAAAAUCAAAGUUUUAAUGGUUGGAUUAGCAUGCCAUGCCAUCCAUUUAUUUGCAAUCUGCAUUUAUUUUUAAUGUAAAAUGUCAGGAACAAUGCUCUUUUGGAGAACUUUAAAGUCACUUUCCAAUUGGAGCCCAUGGGAGAGUGUAAUGGGAAAGACAUGGAAAAAUAAUCUUAAUAAGGACAAUAUAUUCUCUCAAUUUUGCAUCUUCUCCUUGGGUCAUAAGAAUUGGAUGCAGAAAUCAUUGAAUUCCUCUCAAAUCAUUUAUAAUACGAGCUUUGUAAGUUGCAAACAGGAAAAAUUUAAUCUACUGUUGGGGCUUACAUGAAUACCUAUGAAUUCUCAAUUCUGUUUCCAAAUAAUUCAUUUGCAUUCUGUUCUGUAUCUUCUUAUUGUGAUUUUCUUAAAGAUCUAUCUUGGUUACUCAUGGUAUUUAGAAUUCCUGGAGCUUGUAUUUUGCCACGAUAAUUUUCUUUUUUUCAUCUAUUUGUCCAUACAAUUUUGAGAGUUCACUCUCUAAUAUAAGUAUUUCCACUGUUUAUCUUUUUAUUUUUGGAUCUGGAGCCAAUGGUCCAUGGAACCAAAGGUUAUGAUCAUGUCAUACUGUUGUUUAUAGCUUUUACUUGUGUGGUUUCAUUUAUUUUCUCUGAUAUGUUGUGAGACUGUCUUUUUAGAAGAAACAAUGAUUGAUAAUUAUUGUUUAUUUUAUUAUAUCUCAGGCUUAUGUAAUAAUUUUCAUUUAUGAUUGUUUUUCAUUACUUGUCCCUUUUUUCAAUUAUUUGUCUUCGUCAUCAUCAUGCUUGAAUACAAAAUAUAGUUUUUUCAUCCACAAAGUUACUUAAUAUGAAUUUUGUCAUAUUUGUUUCAUAUGAAGUUUUUGUUCCUUUACUGUUGAAUUUAUCAUUUGGUGACUCUGAAAUUACUGGGCAUGUUAACAGAUAUGACAUCAAGUUGAAUAAUGCUAUUCUUGCUGAGGACAAACACUUGCCCAUGUAAGUUUGUUUUUUCUAAUUAUUUGCAUUUUUCCCCUGAAACUUUUUAUUUCUUUUUAACUUUUGGUUUGAUUAACAUGAAUUAUUAAAAAAUGCAUUUUUUAUUCUUCUUCUAUGGUGUUUUAUUUUAAAAUCCCUUAACCCAAAUUGUUGAAAAAUGAAUUCUUUAUUAUUCUUCUAUGGUUUUUGAUUUUAAAACACCUUAUUCUGCCUUGUGUUGGCCUACAUAACAUUUUGUGAACUUUCUCUAUGAUUUGCUUUAAACCGUAUGUUUGUCCUCUAUAAGGUUUGCUUCAUGCUGUAGUACUGCAUAUUUGAAUCAAUUUCAUGUGGAUGGAUUUUCUCAGGUACGAUGAAAUGGCUAGCAAGUAUAAUGUGGAGUAUAUUGCUGGAGGUAUUUUUAAAAUCUCUGAUUUGGAUCUGUAAUGGUUUCAUAUUUCAUAAUGAUAUUCCAACUAGUUCGAGGAUGAUAUAUGUCGCUGAUGGCUCAUGUUUAUAUGCUAAUCAUUUUUGUUCCAUGAUGUUCUGUGUAGGUGCUACUCAAAAUUCGAUUAGAGUUUGCCAGGUACAUAAAAUAUUUACUAUUGAGCUUAGCUUUCAUCUGUAUUUUCUAAUUAAGAAAUUUCAUUCAUUUUCUCACCUUGCCUUGUGUGUGUUUUGCAGUGGAUGCUUCAAAUCCCUGGAGCAACAAGCUAUAUGGGAUGCAUUGGAAAGGACAAGUUUGGGGAGGAAAUGAAGAAAAACUCAAAACUUGCUGGUGUUAAUGUAAGUUUUUUCACUUCUUUACAUCUUUUGCAGCUUUUCCAUGGUUAUCCAUCUCUCCAUUUUAGAUUAGUUGUUUUGUUACUGAGACCUCUUAACAAUCCAUGAUCAGGUUCACUAUCGUGAGGAUGAGACUGCACCAACUGGUACAUGUGCAGUUUGCGUUGUUGGUGGCGAGAGGUGAGUUCCUAACCCACAAAUUUGGAAGAAUGUAAUAUCCAUCAGUGAGAUGUAGAAUUCAAAUAGCUACAAUACUCCACCAAUUUUUUUUUUUUUGGAAUGCAAGAUCUUCCUUGACAAGUCCAUUUGAGGUGUUCAUUUGGUUUUAUUUGAACUUCCCAGGUCAUUGUCAAGGGUCAUCAUAUUUUCCUGUGAUUUUUUCAGAACAUAUGCCAGCAACCUGUCCAUGUGCUCUCUUCUAAAAAGCUUUAAAGAAUGUAAUUGAUUUUCCUUCUUGAUGAACAUAGUAUGUUCCUUUGUAUGAUUUUUGUUCACCUCUCCCCAGUUUAUUUUUUAUGGUGUGUGUUGAGAGAGAGAGAAAGGAGAAAAACCUUAUUUCUCAUUCAUGUAAUAUCUACUUACAAUUGAGAGAUAUAUAUAUACAAGGCUAGGAGUCCUAACUACCAUACAUGUGACCUAUAUUAACAAGGAAAGAUAAUAUACUAUAAAUACAUUAUAUUUAACAGUGUGGAAUGGACCAGUUCAUUCAUAAAAUCCAAAAAGUAAGAACAAAGUUUUGGCUAGUCUGUGCUCCAAAAUUUCUAUCAUACAGCACAUGCUAUAAAAAUCGGCUCCUACUCUUUAACCCUCUAGUGACUAGUUGAAUGUUGGUUAAUCAUUUCAUUGAAUCUGUAGACUGUCUGUUAUCUGAUGGGUGGAUUGCAGUAGUAUAUACUUUGCAAACACACCCACUUGUAUUUUUUAGUUUUAUUUAUGUUCUGGGUUUCUUUGGAUUUCAGCCUUACGUGGCCGUUUGCUUCAUCUCAUUCCAUGUUAAUUAUGCAUAUUCCCAAGUGCUUUGGUACAAAAUACCAUUGUCUCUCCUGGGCGUUCAUAUUGUUUGAGAACAAUAUUUUGCAUCCAAGCCUCUGAUAAUCCCACCAUAAUUUUAGAAUCUUUAAUAGGAAGAAGAGCAAGAAACCGAGUAUUGAUUGUUUGGCACUUGUUUAUCUGUCAAACUUUGCUGCAUCAAGUCCUAUAUUUAUCAUUUAUGCAGGUCACUCAUUGCCAACUUAUCGGCUGCAAAUUGCUACAAGUCCGAACACUUGAAGAGGCCUGAAAACUGGGCAUUAGGUAUUAUUUUCUUUCUUGAUGCUUCUAUUCCUUGUUUGUUGCUAUAUAACAUGUUGAACUUUCUUUUUUAUUUAAACUCCUAUUUUGACAGUUGAAAAGGCCAAAUAUUUCUAUAUUGCUGGUUUUUUCCUGACUGUGUCCCCUGAAUCAAUUCUACUCGUAGCUGAACAUGCAGCUGCAAACAAUAAGGUAAUUCUUUUUAAGUCAGAUUCAUCGCAGUUGUUUUCUUCAAUAGCUUCUGCAACCCAAUGUCCAUUAUCUUCUCAUUCAUGUGCAGGUCUUCAUGAUGAACCUUUCUGCUCCAUUCAUCUGUGAAUUCUUCAAGGAUCAACAGGAGAAAGCUCUACCGUAAGCUCUAUGCCCCCUUUUUUUUUUAUCAUAUUCUUAGCUAAAAUUGCAAAACUGAUACUUUCUGGAUAAAGGUACAUGGAUUAUGUAUUUGGGAAUGAAACGGAAGCAAGAACCUUUUCCAGGGUUCAUGGCUGGGAGGUAGGGAUUACUUGGUGUUGGAUUUGUUUUUGAUGAUUGUUGCCCCCUACAGGAAGGAAAAAAAUGGAAUUUCCUCAUUUGGCUGUCUUUUGUGAUCAGACUGAUAACGUUGAGGAGAUUGCAAUAAAAAUAUCUCAAUGGCCAAAAGCAUCAGGGACACACAAGAGAAUUACUGUGAUCACUCAAGGUGCAGAUCCUGUUGUAGUUGCAGAGGAUGGAAAAGUGAAGUCAUUCCCUGUGAUCUUGCUGCCCAAGGAGAAGCUGGUUGAUACCAAUGGAGCAGGUAUGAACUCUCUUAUCUCAUUAUUCAUGCCUAGAGUGCUGAAAAUGACCAACCUUCAUAAAGGUUUGCAUCGUAUUGAGAUUCAGUGCUCCCGUCUUCUAGGGUGUGAAGAAGGGUUAGUGAGAAUGGUAUUGUCAUGCGCUGAAUUAGGAUGAGCUUAUGAGCAAUGUAGUUGUAAUUGUUUAUUAAUGUGUUUUCUCAUGCAACCUCAGAGGUUUGUCCUUGUCAAACUUGACAAGGGGAACGAUCCCUUAAAUAUGUAAACUCCUAAGAAGCAAGCAUGGACACCUCUAGUGGAAGCUGCUAAUUAGGCUGCCCCUUGUUAUAAAUAUAAUGCAUUGCUUUGCGCUUUUUUUUUUUUUUUUUUCCUUUUAAUUUGAUUUUUCCUGUGUGGUAGGGGAUGCAUUCGUUGGAGGUUUUUUGUCUCAGUUGGUUCAAGAGAAGCCUAUUGAAGAAUGUGUGAGAGCUGGUUGCUAUGCUUCACAUGUUAUAAUCCAAAGGUCUGGCUGCACCUACCCAGAGAAGCCCGACUUCAGUUAGAAUUAUCUCUCACCCGGGAUCUUCUCCAUUUCACAAGUAAUAAUAGUAGAGUUAUUUUUCCUGUGGCGGGUUCUACUCCCUGCCCAAUGAUCAUGCAUCGUGCAUUAUUAGCUCCUGGAUC